GCCCCCAGUGGCACAAUGGGUCGGUGUGUCUGGCUGUUAACCAGAAGGUUGGUGGUUUGAACCCAACCAGGGACA